rnacentral:lncRNA from 1 species
GGCAUAAGAAGCUCGCUUUAAGAUGAGUUAAUCCCUGUAAAAUUUACAAAAUAAGCUGCUCAAGAAAAACUUUUUGCAGCAAAGACAAACAAAAAGGCCCGUCCACAUAAAGACAAAGGGCCAGCGACGGAUCCUAACUAGUAACAAAACAUCCUGAAAUUUUGACAACUAGAACUCUUGUGUAAUCAGAGAGAAAAUCAGCACCAAAUCAAAAUAUGAGCUAAUCCAAACAUCUCAAAAACGGUAGGGAGUGGUAGACAGGGUGGCAACCCCUCCCUAGCCUUCAGAAUAUCCGCAGAGCAAAGAAAGAACGUCCUGCACUCCAACAGCCCGGCACUCCACAAAGACAAACCUCAACCGCAAAACACAAAGCAAACAGCAGAACGGAAACCCCCUUGACCUUGGCCGAGAAAUGGAAAGGAGAAAAAGGAAGUCCUCCAUCAGCUCAUCUUGACUGCCGUGCUUAAGAAUCAUCCAUCAAAACUCCAAAACGCUACCGCAGCCUUGUCAACCAAACCCUGUCCCAACCCUAUGAUAACUCUUCCUUAACCACACCCUCCAAGAUCAACAAGCAGAGGAUCAGAGACGGCAGAGACACUUUCUUGUGA